GGGAUGAUAAUGACAGUACCUGGUAAAGAAACCCCGGCUAACUCCGUGCCAGCAGCCGCGGUAAUACGGAGGGGGUUAGCGUUGUUCGGAAUUACUGGGCGUAAAGCGCACGUAGGCGGAUUGGAAAGUUGGGGGUGAAAUCCCGGGGCUCAACCCCGGAACUGCCUUCCAAACUCCCAGUCUAGAGUUCGAGAGAGGUGAGUGGAAUUCCGAGUGUAGAGGUGAAAUUCGUAUAUAUUCGGAAGAACACCAUUGGCGAAGGCGGCUCACUGGAUCGAUACUGACGCUGA
rnacentral:rRNA from 1 species